rnacentral:rRNA from 1 species
UCCCCUAGUAACUGCGAGUGAAGCGGGAAAAGCUCAAAUUUGUAAUCUGGUGGCUCUUGGCCAUCCGAGUUGUAAUCUAGAGAAGUGUUACCCGUGCUGGACUGUGUACAAGUCUCCUGGAAUGGGGCAUCAUAGAGGGUGAGAAUCCCGUCUUUGACACGGACUACCAGUGCACUGUGGGUGUGCUCUCGAAGAGUCGAGUUGUUUGGGAAUGCAGCUCAAAAUGGGUGGUAAAUGCCAUCUAAAGCUAAAUAUUGGCGAGAGACCGAUAGCGAACAAGUACCGUGAGGGAAAGAUGAAAAGUACUUUGGAAAGAGAGUUAAACAGUACGUGAAAUUGCUGAAAGGGAAACGCUUGAAGUCAGUCGCGUCGGCAGGGAAUCAGCCUCGCUUUUGCUUGGUGUACUUUCCUGUCUUGACGGGUCAGCAUCAAUCUNGACCACUGGAUAAAGUCCAUGGGAAUGUAGCAUCUUUUGGAUGUGUUAUAGCCUGUUGUCGCAUACGGUGGUUGGGAUUGAGGAACUCAGCACGCCCGCGAGGGACGGGUUUCGACCACGUUUUCGUGCUUAGGAUGCUGGCAUAAUGGCUUUAAUCGACCCGUCUUG